AGCUGUUACAAAGGCAGGAAUAAUUCAACAAGUGGCAGCACCUGUGGCUGUGGAAUUCUGGGUUGGCUGGGAAGCCCCUUGCCGUGGCUGGGGAAUUCUGGGUUGUGGGGAAGCACAGUUCUUCAGUGCUAGCUCUCAGGAAAAGUGGGAAAGGAGGCUGCUAGACCAUAAAUGGAGGAGAAGGUAAUGGGGAAGGACUUACAGCUUUAACAUCACCCUGCAUUGGACUGCUGUGAUAGAGUGUUGGGCAAGCACAAGAGACUGAACCUUGCCAUUUGCCCUUCAGUGACUGGGAGUCAAGUUCUGACUGCUUUUGUACUGGCCAACUGUGGUAUUUCCAGUGGUGGACCAUCUGAAAACCAUGCCACUCUGCCUUGAGGAUGGUUGAGCAAGAGGUUCUCCAGAAGAGAACAGGCUACACUGCUUCUCAGCCUCCAGAAAAGGAAUUGCUUAGUUGUUGUUGUCUGAAGAAGAAUGUGGAAUGAUUGGGAGCAAGCAGGAUGAGGCCUAUAACAGCAGAUCCAACCUGCAGGACAUCCGGAGCGAUCCUGGUUGCACUCCACAUCAAACAGAUACCGUCUCGAACUGACUUGCAAAAGUUGAAAGGCUGCCAACUGGUCGUAAUGUUUUCCCAAGUGAAAAGAAUAUACUGUUUAAAUUUCAUGUUAAGUUAAUAAAAUAAAAAUCAAUAUACAAUUUCAGUGUUACAUGUUAAAAAGCCACCCUGAGUGUUCAGAGUUGGAGGAAUAAACUUUUUUUUUAAAUGA